rnacentral:rRNA from 1 species
AUGAGUCUUCUUUGCUGGAACUGCCGCGGAAUUGGCAAAGCCGUGACCGUUCGGGAGCUUCGCGACCUAGCGAGGCAGUUUGCCCCCUCUAUUCUUUGUAUUCUGGAAACACAAUUAGAGGGUUCGAGAGUAGAAAAUUUGGCAGAAGGAUUAGGUUUCAAUAAAAGUUAUGCAGUUAGUAGUUCUAGAAGGAGUGGUGGCCUAUGUAUUUUUUGA